ACGAACGCUGGCGGCGUGCCUAAUACAUGCAAGUCGAACGCUUCUUUUUCCACCGGAGCUUGCUCCACCGGAAAAAGAGGAGUGGCGAACGGGUGAGUAACACGUGGGUAACCUGCCCAUCAGAAGGGGAUAACACUUGGAAACAGGUGCUAAUACCGUAUAACAAUCGAAACCGCAUGGUUUUGAUUUGAAAGGCGCUUUCGGGUGUCGCUGAUGGAUGGACCCGCGGUGCAUUAGCUAGUUGGUGAGGUAACGGCUCACCAAGGCGACGAUGCAUAGCCGACCUGAGAGGGUGAUCGGCCACAUUGGGACUGAGACACGGCCCAAACUCCUACGGGAGGCAGCAGUAGGGAAUCUUCGGCAAUGGACGAAAGUCUGACCGAGCAACGCCGCGUGAGUGAAGAAGGUUUUCGGAUCGUAAAACUCUGUUGUUAGAGAAGAACAAGGAUGAGAGUAACUGUUCAUCCCUUGACGGUAUCUAACCAGAAAGCCACGGCUAACUACGUGCCAGCAGCCGCGGUAAUACGUAGGUGGCAAGCGUUGUCCGGAUUUAUUGGGCGUAAAGCGAGCGCAGGCGGUUUCUUAAGUCUGAUGUGAAAGCCCCCGGCUCAACCGGGGAGGGUCAUUGGAAACUGGGAGACUUGAGUGCAGAAGAGGAGAGUGGAAUUCCAUGUGUAGCGGUGAAAUGCGUAGAUAUAUGGAGGAACACCAGUGGCGAAGGCGGCUCUCUGGUCUGUAACUGACGCUGAGGCUCGAAAGCGUGGGGAGCAAACAGGAUUAGAUACCCUGGUAGUCCACGCCGUAAACGAUGAGUGCUAAGUGUUGGAGGGUUUCCGCCCUUCAGUGCUGCAGCUAACGCAUUAAGCACUCCGCCUGGGGAGUACGACCGCAAGGUUGAAACUCAAAGGAAUUGACGGGGGCCCGCACAAGCGGUGGAGCAUGUGGUUUAAUUCGAAGCAACGCGAAGAACCUUACCAAGUCUUGACAUCCUGCGACGGACAUAGAAAUAUGUUUUUCCUUCGGGACGCAGAGACAGGUGGUGCAUGGUUGUCGUCAGCUCGUGUCGUGAGAUGUUGGGUUAAGUCCCGCAACGAGCGCAACCCUUAUUGUUAGUUGCCAUCAUUUAGUUGGGCACUCUAGCAAGACUGCCGGUGACAAACCGGAGGAAGGUGGGGAUGACGUCAAAUCAUCAUGCCCCUUAUGACCUGGGCUACACACGUGCUACAAUGGGAAGUACAACGAGUCGCAAAGUCGCGAGGCUAAGCUAAUCUCUUAAAGCUUCUCUCAGUUCGGAUUGUAGGCUGCAACUCGCCUACAUGAAGCCGGAAUCGCUAGUAAUCGCGAAUCAGCAUGUCGCGGUGAAUACGUUCCCGGGCCUUGUACACACCGCCCGUCACACCACGAGAGUUUGUAACACCCGAAGUCGGUGAGGUAACCUUUUGGAGCCAGCCGCCUAAGGUGGGAUAGAUGAUUGGGGUG
rnacentral:rRNA from 1 species